AAUUCCAUCUAAAGCUAAAAACUGGCGAGAGACCGCUAGCGAACAAGUACAGUGAUGGAAAGAUGAAAAGCACUUUGAAAAGAGAGUGAAACAGCACGUGAAAUUGUUGAAAGGGAAGGGAAUGGGAUUAGCGGCCAGCAGGAGGUGCCUUCUCGUGAAAAGGCCGUGCACCGUCUUCGGACACCGUGCGCGGAGAUGGCGAGGGGGCGCCUGAGGUCUGCGACUCGAGGUUGCUGGCGUAAUGAUUGCAUACCACCCGUCUUGAAACACGGACCAAGGAGUCUAACGUCUAUGCGAGUAUGUGGGUGUCAAACCCGCGUGCGGAAUGAAAGUGACACGGUUGGAGCCGCAAGGCGCCCCAUCGACCGAACCUGAUGUUCUCGGAUGGUUUUGAGUAAGAGCAU
rnacentral:rRNA from 1 species